rnacentral:piRNA from 1 species
UGAGAGUGGCAUCUAAAUGUUUAGUGGUAU